UCUCCAAACUCCACCAAAACCCUAACCCUAACCCUACCUCCUCCUCCUCCUCCUCCUUCCUCCACAAGCUCCUCGAUCCCCUCUCCCCCUCCUCCAAAUCCCACCGCAUCGGCCUCCCCAAGCCCUAGCCCUAGCCCUAAUGGAGGUCGAGAUCAAGCUCCGCCUCCCCUCCGCCGCCGCCCAUCAACUCCUCUCCGAUGCCCUUGCCCCCUUCCACCUCAAGACCCACCUCCAAGAGAACAUCUUCUUCGACACCACCGCCUCGGACCUCGCCGCCGCACUCGCCGCCCUCCGCAUCCGCUUCUACGACGGCGACUCCAAGUGCGUCCUCUCCCUCAAAGCCCGCGCCAAGCUCGUCGACGGCGUCAGCCGCGUCGAGGAGGAUGAGGAGGACAUCGACCCCUCCGUCGGCCGCGAAGCUGUUGCGGACCCCAAAAAGAUGAAGUCUUUGCUUGGGGAGACGGGGAUUUUGAAGAGGGUUUUUGAGGAGAUUGGGAUUAAUGGGGAGUUUGUUUGCUUGGGAGGGUUUAGGAACGUCAGGGCGGUUUACCGGUGGGAGGACGGUUUGAUAUUGGAGCUGGAUGAGACGCAGUAUGAGUUUGGGACGAGUUACGAGAUUGAGUGUGAGACGAAGGAGCCAGAGAGGGUUAAGGUGUUGCUUGAAGGGUUCUUGAACGACAAAGGGAUUCCUUAUGAGUACUCGAGAGCGUCCAAGUUUGCUGUUUUUAGAUCUGGGAAGCUUUUGCCCUAAAGACAGAGAAUCUUGGAUUCAUUCAUUGGCCGAGAGGAUCCCGGCAUAAUCGGUCAUCUGAGAAAAUAUUAGCAGAUUAGCGAGCAGAGUUGCAGCAGGUGCGGCUGCAAAUCAAAGUGGGAGAAUAAAUCCUUAUCCGUUGUAAUGGUAUGCAAAAUUAUGUGAAACGUACACACGGCAAAUUAUUAGAGUUGGCUUCUGGAAGCCUGAUGAGCGGUAAUCAAAAUCUUUUGUUGUCAUAAUAUUAUGGGCGAAUGUGUUGCUCUUGUUCUGUGGAACCUUUUUACAAGCUGUUAGGGAGAAUAAUAAAGAUUAAAUUGAGCUUAUUUUGUGUUUUACAUGUAUCUAAUUAUUGUGGUGUAGGUAGAUACAAUUUCAACUUAUGCCUCAUGCUCAUGUGGUGUAUUGUGAAAAUUUGAGUCCAGGUAUUCUCUAC